CUUAAUCAUCAAAGCCAGUAGAAUCAGGCUGCGCAAAUGCGUCUGACAUAGUUUGACGGACAUUCGCCCUUCUCCAAUCAAAACAAGCUAAUGGCCGUCUGGAAUGACCAAUCAGACCAGGAAGAAGCCCCAAAGCAUGCUGGGAAGUCUAGUUGCCAGUUAAAAGCGGUUUUGUUCCGGUGAAAACAGCUUGUUUUGCUCAACAAUAAAGAAAAAGCUGCAUGGAAAUCACCGGUUUAUUGGACACUCAUGUUAGGACAGUCGAAGACCACUGCCGUGCAAUAAAUCACACAAACAUGUGAAAUGUGUUCUCGGUGAUGCAAGCUGUCCAGAGAAGCGGAGCCUCAGCUGAACAUCAUCUUCUUUCUUUUUUGUUUGUGUGCUAAAUGUGAUCAUAUAACUUCUGCUGCAGAAAGGUGCGUGUGCAGUGAUGUGGAACAACACCUCACAUAUGCUAAUCAAACAUAUGGCACUUCAAGGAACAAACAAGGAUUACCGUUCUUGUCCUACAAGAUAAAAAGGUUACUUGGUUUUAAAUGUAAUUUGAAUGCGUCCGAGAGCUAUAAUGGGCUGAGGCUGUUUCAUUUUUUUCCCUAAUUCGUUUGCAUACGAGAAAGCAGAGAUUGCUCACACCUGUUUUUUUUUCCUCCUCCUUUUCUUCUUCCUCUUCUUCCUCCUCUUCCUCAU